rnacentral:rRNA from 1 species
AUUGAACGCUGGCGGUAUGCUUAACACAUGCAAGUCGAACGGUAACAGGCCUUCGGGCGCUGACGAGUGGCGGACGGGUGAGUAACGCGUAGGAAUCUGCCUCAUAGUGGGGGACAACGUGUGGAAACGCACGCUAAUACCGCAUACGCCCUACGGGGGAAAGCGGGGGACCUUCGGGCCUCGCGCUAUGAGAUGAGCCUGCGUUAGAUUAGCUAGUUGGUAGGGUAAAGGCCUACCAAGGCGACGAUCUAUAGCUGGUCUGAGAGGACGAUCAGCCACACUGGGACUGAGACACGGCCCAGACUCCUACGGGAGGCAGCAGUGGGGAAUAUUGGACAAUGGGCGCAAGCCUGAUCCAGCAAUACCGCGUGUGUGAAGGAGGCCCUAGGGUUGUAAAGCACUUUCAAUAGGGAGGAAAACCUGUCGGUCAAUACCCGGCAGCUUGACAUUACCUAUACAAGAAGCACCGGCUAACUCCGUGCCAGCAGCCGCCGUAA